UUGCCCCAGUAACGGCGAGUGAAGCGGCAACAGCUCAAAUUUGAAAUCUGGCCCCCCGGCCCGAGUUGUAAUUUGCAGAGGAUGCUUUUGGUGAGGCACCUACCGAGUCCCCUGGAAUGGGGCGCCAUAGAGGGUGAGAGCCCCGUAUGGUAGGACGCCGAACCUCUGUAAAGCUCCUUCGACGAGUCGAGUAGUUUGGGAAUGCUGCUCUAAAUGGGAGGUAAAUUUCUUCUAAAGCUAAAUACCGGCCAGAGACCGAUAGCGCACAAGUAGAGUGAUCGAAAGAUGAAAAGCACUUUGAAAAGAGGGUUAAAAAGUACGUGAAAUUGUUGAAAGGGAAGCGCUUGUGACCAGACUUGCGCCGGGCGGAUCAUCCAGCGUUCUCGCUGGUGCACUCCGCCCGGUUCAGGCCAGCAUCGGUUUUCGCCGGGGGACAAAGGCUUCGGGAACGUGGCUCCUUUCGGGGAGUGUUAUAGCCCGUUGCGUAAUACCCCGGCGGGGACCGACGACCGCGCUUCGGCAAGGAUGCUGGCGUAAUGGUCAUCAGCGACCCGUCUUGAAACACGGACCGAGGAGUCAAGCAUUAGUGCGAGUGUUUGGGUGUAAAACCCGCACGCGUAAUGAAAGUGAACGUAGGUGAGAGCUUCGGCGCAUCAUCGACCGAUCCUGAUGUUUUCGGAAGGAUUUGAGUAGGAGCAUUAACGCUUGGACCCGAAAGAUGGUGAACUAUACUUGAAUAGGGUGAAGCCAGAGGAAACUCUGGUGGAGGCUCGCAGCGGUUCUGACGUGCAAAUCGAUCGUCAAAUUUGAGUAUAGGGGCGAAAGACUAAUCGAACCAUCUAGUAGCUGGUUUCAGCGAAGU
rnacentral:rRNA from 1 species